AGUUAAACAUGCAUGCGCGAUGUUUGUAUCCUCCAACAAACUGAGUCCAAAUUACUAAAACAGCAACAUGUAACCAAAAGGAGUGCAGUACAGUCCUAGAGAUCAUUUGACAUCAGCCUGCACCUGUCCAUUCAACACUGGCCUCAUUGAACAUGCUCUAAUGAAGCGGAGUGUAUUACUUAGGAUUUUGAAGGAUAUCUGCGUUGCAUAAAUGUGCCAGUGUUUAACUACAUUCCUCCCACCUCCACUGUCCAAACAUGUCCAGUAGCACCAGCCUGUUAGCGGCCGACUAUUCAUCACAGCCCCUCUAAAUAAACAGCUGAGGUGUUUGAGAGAUGGCCAUGCUCUGAGGCCACUCAUUCACUGGAGGAAAAUGACUCCAAACAGCAUGCCGUCACCAUCACAGACAUCGACAAACUCCUGAAUUCGAUACUGCUUUGUUUGUUGUUAAAACCGGAUGUCUAUAUGUCCCAAAUAAUUUUUGUGUCCUAGCUGUCUCUGAAUGGAGCUGUCACUGGAAUGUCCCAAAACAGACAAAUAAACUCUUAAAAAG
rnacentral:lncRNA from 1 species